rnacentral:rRNA from 1 species
AAAAAUCCUUCGGGAUUGGAAUUCUCGACUUAGUGGCGGACGGGUGAGUAACGCGUGAGCAAUCUGCCUUUAAGAGGGGGACAACAGUUGGAAACGACUGCUAAUACCGCAUGACACAUUGGGGUCGCAUGGCCCUGAUGUCAAAGAUUUAUCGCUGAAAGAUGGACCCGCGUCUGAUUAGCUAGUUGGUGAGGUAACGGCCCACCAAGGCGACGAUCAGUAGCCGGACUGAGAGGUUGAACGGCCACAUUGGGACUGAGAUACGGCCCAGACUCC